CUCCUGAAGUUACAGAAAAAUGAAGGAAAUUCUGAGAAUUCGCACGUAGAUUCUUUCCAGUGAAAAAGUGAAAGAGGCUAGUUCUUCCAAGUCUGCAUCAGCAUCCGGACUACAUGGACUUCUGUGAUCCAGUUUCAUGGAAGUUGAAGUCUUUGAAAGGACUUGUAACUUUAUGGGGAGGUGUGCUGUAUGGGCUCUAUCUGUAUUUUCUUCUAGAGGUACCGUUUCAGAGCAAAAAGAGCCAGGACAGUUCUAUGAGUGAGGAUGC